AUUGAACGCUGGCGGCAGGCCUAACACAUGCAAGUCGAACGAGUGGCGGACGGGUGAGUAAUGUCUGGGAAACUGCCUGAUGGAGGGGGAUAACUACUGGAAACGGUAGCUAAUACCGCAUACCAUCGGAUGUGCCCAGAUGGGAUUAGCUAGUAGGUGGGGUAAAGGCUCACCUAGGCGACGAUCCCUAGCUGGUCUGAGAGGAUGACCAGCGACACUGGAACGGGGACACGGUCCAGACUCCGACGGGAGGCAGGAGUGGGGAAUAUUGCGCAAUGGGCGCAAGCCUUAUGCAGCCAGGCGGCGUGUAUAAAGAAGGCCUUAGGGUUGUAAAGUACUUUCAGCGGGGAGGCGUUACCCGCAAAAGAAGCACCGGCUAACUCCGUGCCAGCAGCCGCGGUAAUAC
rnacentral:rRNA from 1 species